rnacentral:RNase_P_RNA from 1 species
CGACAAGUGCGGUCUAUUGAUCCAGAAAUGGGUAGGAAAGUCCGGACACCAUAGGGCAGCAUAGCGGCUAACGGCCGUCAUCCGUGAGGGUAGGACAAGUGCAACAGAAAGCAAGUACAGUUCGGCUGUAGUGAAACCAGGUAAACUCUAUGCGGUGCAAUGCUAUGUAUACCAGCAAUUAAGGGCGGCUCGUCCAUGCUGGGGGGUAAGCAGCUAUAUCAUUCUGGCAACAGAAUGGACAGAUAAAUAAUAGACACUUUCAUUUAAAGUACAAAAUCCGGCUUAUAGCACUUGUCUUUUU